UACGGGGGGGGGCAAGCGUUGUCCGGAAUCACUGGGCGUAAAGGGCGCGUAGGCGGCUUGGGAAGUCCGUGGUGAAAGCCCGAGGCUCAACUUCGGGUCGGCCAUGGAUACUCCUAAGCUCGAGUCGACUAGAGGCUAAUGGAAUUCCGGGUGUAGCGGUGGAAUGCGUAGAGAUCCGGAAGAACACCGGUGGCGAAGGCGGUUAGCUGGGGUCGGACUGACGCUGAGGCGCGACAGCGUGGGGAGCAAACAGG
rnacentral:rRNA from 1 species